rnacentral:rRNA from 1 species
UCGCAGAAUUCAGUGAAUCAUCGAAUCUUUGAACGCACCUUGCGCUCCUUGGUAUUCCGAGGAGCAUGCCUGUUUGAGUGUCAUU